ACAAGUACAGUGAUGGAAAGUUGCAAAGAACUUUGAAGAGAGAGUUCAAGAGAACGUGAAAUCGCUUGUGUGGAACCGGAGAGAGUUAACGUAGUCUGGUGGCUAAGCUUUACGUCGGUCGUCUUUGAUGGCUUCGUGGAGUGUAUGCCGCCUAUGGCUGCGUCGGCGGCGUUGGUGGAGUCUGCUGAACCGUGUAGUGUUACCCACAUCUGUGGUGCUUUGCUUGCGGAUAGGCCGAUCUCUAGUAGCGUUACGUCACUGCUGUGCAGUGCGCCGAUGUGAAAGUUAACCACCUCUCCGACCCGUCUUGAAACACGGACCGAGGAGUGUAGCUUGUGCGUGAGUCACUGAGUGUUAAAACUCAACGGCGUAAUGAAAGUAAAGGCUGAUUAAUCAGCUGACAUAGGAUCCGUUCCUUGUGGGCGGCGCACUAUGGCCCUGUCUCGGUUGCUUGCAAUUGGGCAGAGGAAGAACGUACAGGCUGCGACCCGAAAGAUGGUGAACUAUGCUUGAGCAGGACGAAGCCAGAGGAAACUCUGGUGGAAGUCCGUAUCGGUUCUGACGUGCAAAUCGAUCGAUAGACUUGGGUAUAGGGGCGAAAGACUAAUCGAACCAUCUAGUAGCUGGUUCCCUCCGAAGUUUCCCCCAGGAUAGCUGGAGCAGAUCGUGGUUAUAUCCGGUAAAGCGAAUGAUUAGAGGAAUUGGGGUCGAAACGACCUCAACCUAUUCUCAAACUUUCAAUGGGUAUGUUGUCYUGGUUUCUUCAUUGAACUAGGACACGAACACUUGCUCCAAGUGGGCCAUUUUUGGUAAGCAGAACUGGCGCUGUGGGAUGAACCAAACGCCGUGUUAAGGUGCCUAACUUUGCACUCAUGAGACCCCAUAAAAGGCGUUGGUUGAUCUAGACAGCAGGACGGUGGCCAUGGAAGUCGGUACCCGCUAAGGAGUGUGU
rnacentral:rRNA from 1 species